CAGAUCAAUGAUGACAGCUUGUUAUGAACCAAAGGUUAUAAUGAAUUCAAUUUUACGGAUCUUAU
ensembl:snoRNA